CGUAGGGUGCAAGCGUUAAUCGGAAUUACUGGGCGUAAAGCGUGCGCAGGCGGUCCGCUAAGACAGAUGUGAAAUCCCCGGGCUUAACCUGGGAACUGCAUUUGUGACUGGCGGGCUAGAGUAUGGCAGAGGGGGUAGAAUUCCACGUGUAGCAGUGAAAUGCGUAGAGAUGUGGAGGAAUACCGAUGGCGAAGGCAGCCCCCUGGGCCAAUACUGACGCUCAUGCACGAAAGCGUGGGGAGCAAAACAGGAUU
rnacentral:rRNA from 1 species